GUUCCUCCUUGUGGAGUUUACUGUGAGCCUACAACACUGCAUUUCUGCAACGUGCCACUGUUCAGGGAAAGAUCUGAUGAGAGAGUGGAAAUGUACAGCCUCCCAGGUCUGCAGCAUCUUCUACUAGGUGGGAUAAAUAUGUGACUGGAGAGAGACUGUCAGCUGGCUGGGCAAAUCUACAAGAAAUUCUUACUGAGAAAGAACAUGGAGCAACUCCACCAUAUCUCAGUGAAGACAUCCAUCCAGCACUCACUUUUAUCCUUUUUCUUAUGAAACUUUUCUUUCACUUACAUUUAAUGAAUGUCCAAGUUAAAUGAGCAAAAGGAGCUAUAAGCAAUGAUAACAUAAUUACCUAUAAGCAAAUAGUAUCCUCAUAGUGCAGUAACUUUCCACAGAGCUUUGACCUUUUUUCUCAGUGUGCUUUUUAGGUUUUUCUCCAUUUCCACACCAAUAAACUACAUAUGUAGGAUGC